UACAUGGGGUGCAAACGUUGCUCGGAAUUAUUGGGCGUAAAGAGCUCGUAGGCGGCUCAUCGCGUCUGCCGUGAAAACCUGUGGCUCAACUACAGGCUUGCGGUUGAUACGGGUUGGGCUGGAGUUCGGUAGGGGAGACUGGAAUUCCUGGUGUAGCGGUGAAAUGCGCAGAUAUCAGGAGGAACACCGGUGGCGAAGGCGGGACUCUGGGCCGAUACUGACGCUGAGGAGCGAAAGCGUGGGGAGCGAACAGG
rnacentral:rRNA from 1 species